GACGAACGCUGGCGGCGUGGAUUAGGCAUGCAAGUCGAACGGUAGGAUACCUUCGGGUAUCUGAGAGUGGCGAACGGGUGAGUAACACGUAGGUGAUCUACCCUCAAGAUUGGGACAACCCAGGGAAACUUGGGCUAAUACCGGAUGAAAGCAGCAGUGAUGUUGUUUGAAAGGUGGCGUAAGCUGCCGUUUGGGGAUGAGCCUGCGCUCUAUUAGUUAGUUGGCGGGGUAAAGGCCCACCAAGGCGAUGAUAGAUAGGCGGCCUUAACGGGUGGUCGCCCACACUGGGAUUGAGAUACGGCCCAGACUCCUACGGGAGGCAGCAGUCGAGAAUAGUCUACAAUGGCCGAAAGGCUGAUAGUGCGACGCCGCGUGAACGAAGAAGCCCUUCGGGGUGUAAAGUUCUUUUAUAUGUGAGCAGUGCUUUCUAUGUGAACAGCAUGGGGAAGGAUAUUAGCAUAUGAAUAAGCAACGGCUAACUCCGUGCC
rnacentral:rRNA from 1 species